rnacentral:lncRNA from 1 species
CCCACUCACCGGUGCUCAUCUCGCCCAGCCAGCAAGAGAGCGCGCCAAAGCGCACCGUGUGGAAGAGCACCGACUUCCCCGGCCGCCCGGGGCUCACGCCGAUGCACACAGCGGGCAGCUCAGAGCCUGGCCCGGUCAGCAGCGCGAACACGGACAGAGGCGUCGGCAGUGGGAACAGCACCUGCUGCGGGCCGCACAGGGAGGGGCGGGCUAGGGGGUGGUUCAGGACGGGGCCUCAGGGGGCGUGGCUUGUAGCUGGCCUGGGACUUCCGAACCAGGGCCCUAAGUCUUGGGGGAUGCCGUCUAGAAAUGUCAGGGGAUAAGGCCUGGUGCCUCCGCGGGAACGGGGGUCGUGACCUCCGAGUGGGUGUGGCUUCCAUGUGGGGGCAUGCCACCUUGGCGGCAGACGGGCAGGGCCCCAAAGAUAGCAAAACCUGCUUAGACACUCAAAGAGACAGGCUCUAAAUGGGCUCUACUAGGACACCCAGGGAGUGGCAGCAUUGAGCCUGAGGAAUAAUUAGGCCCAGGUGUGAGGGGCGGCGCUUAAGGAUCAGGAUGGCUUCAGAAGGACGAGGCUCCAAGCGCAGACCGCAGGUGGGCGGGGCCUCGGGAGAUUGGGGCGGGGCCUCGACGGAGGUGGGGCUUCAUGGAGCUCUUGAUAGAAGCGCAAAGGGUGCAAGGCCUUAGCCACCCACUCCUCAGAGUUCCCAGCACCCUCCCAAGCCCCUUACCCGGACAAGCAGGAAUUUGUUCAUGGGCUGGUACCACUGAAGCAGGACAACGGACGUCUCCAAUGCACCGCACAGGAACGGGCCCCCAGAGCUCGCACCCUCCGCUGUGGCAUGGGCAAGGAUGAGUCAAGAUCAAUGCCCUCUAUCCUCCUCGCCACCCACACUACCACCCAUCUUCUGGGUUCUGGACACAUUGCCUUAACUCUGUAACCUUCUCAGGUGGAUGCAGUUCAAGCCCCUCCUCUGGCCUGGCCCCGCCCACUCUCUGCACACCCGUGAAGCUCUCUCUCACCCACACAGCACGCCCGGCAGCCUUUGGUGUCCUGGAUCUUGGUGGAAACCAUGUUCUUCCUGGAGAAUAGGAUCUCCUUGACCCUCCAGAAUGCCCACCCUUGGUGGAGGGAUGUGUCCAGGCGGCCGUGCUGUGGAUCCGGAGGGGGCAGCCAUUGAACAACUUUACGAGAAGGGCACAUCCCUGGGCAGGUCGCCGCGGGGCCAGGCAGCAGAUCCGGCAAAGAGAGCAGGGAACAGGAAGGGGCAGUGGUUACGACUUUGGAGCGAGAGUGCCAAGGUUCAAAUCCUGCCUCUUACCUUGGUGCAAUUUCCCAUAAUCUAUCCCUGUAAUACACUUUUUCAUACAUUGAGUUUUCUUUUCAGUUUGUUUUUGUUUUUUUUUGUUGUUGUUAUAUAUUUCUUUUUUUAGUUUUUCCUCCACUAUCCUAAAUCAUCAGCAUUUGUUUUUUUUAAGACAGAGUCUCACUCGGUUGCCCAGGCUGGAAUGCAAUGACAUGAUCUCAGCUCACUACAACCUCUGCUUCCCAAGUUCAACUGAUUCUCAUGCCUAAGCCUUCUGAGUAGCUGGGACCAAAGGCGUGUGCCACCACACCCAGCUAAUUUUUGUAUUUUUAGUAGAGAUGGAGUUUUGCCAUGUUGCCCAGGCUGGUCUUGAACUCUUGGCCUCAUGUGAUUCACCUGCCUCAGCCUCCCAAAGUGCUGAGAUUACAGGCGUGAGGCACCACUCCCAGCUGUCAGUUUUGUUUUUGGAGAUGGAGUCUCACUCUGUUGCCCAGGCUGGAGUGCAGUGAUGCAAUCUCAGCUCACUGCAACCUCCACCUCCUGGGCUCAAGCAAUUCUUCUGCCUCAGCCUCCUGA